rnacentral:rRNA from 1 species
AUGAAGCUCCUAUGCUGGAAUAUUAGGGGCUUCGGCAACCUAGGCCGCCGACGCCAGCUGAUUGAUUAUAUCCGACAGGAAGACAUCGAUAUUGUUGGCAUUCAAGAGACGGUUCGUCAGGACUUCUCCAUUCAGGAGCUUCAGGGGCUCUCUCGACACCCUUUUGCCUGGCAAUGGCUCCCGGCUUCUGGGCAGUCUGGAGGCAUUCUCCUGGGGGUCAGGGAGGAUUUCUUCUCGGUGGAGGAUAUGGAACGCGGGGAGUUCUUCCUGAGUAUGGCCAUCACCGACCGACGUGUGAACCUCAGCUGGGAGGUGAUCAUUGUCUAUGGCCCGGUUGAUCACGGGCGGUCGGUGGGUUUCCUGGCCGAGCUGCAGGAUAAGGUUGAACGGUGCACGGCCCCGGUGGUGGUGGCGGGCGACUUCAACCUUAUCAGAACGGAGGCGGACAAAAGCUCGCCCAACAUUGACCGACGGCGUAUGCGCAUGUUCAACGAUGCCAUAGCUGCGAUGGCCCUCCGUGAGAUAGCCCGCGUAGGGGCUAGGUUCACAUGGACCAAUAAACAGGUGGACCCUAUACGGAGCGUGCUGGAUCGGGUCCUUGUGUCCCUGCAGUGGGAAGUUAUGUUCCCACUGUGCUCCUUACGGGCGGUCACUAGGAAUGGCUCCGACCACGUCCCCCUGCUGUUUGCGUCAGGGGAA